UCACAAUGGGCACAGGGGAUGAAAGGUGCCGGGGGUCCGGGUCUCGAGCAGUCCCUGCCGCCGCCAGACUCCGCGCCCUGGAGGGGGAUGGGGUGCGCGUAGACGCUCCGCGGCCCGGGUCGGACGGAGGAGCCCAGGAGCUGCCGCAGCCGCCGCGAGCCCAGAGAUCCGAGCUUCGCUGCCAGCCCAGGACACCGGGGCCCGGACGCGGGCCGAGGGGAGCCGGGCGGCGGGAGAGGAGCCCCGGAGCCCCGCUGAGCGCCCGCCGAGAGGGCGUUUUCCCCGCCCCCGGAGCCUAGCCCGCCCGGCCCGCCCAGAGCGCGGGGAGAUCACCUCCGCCCGUCACCUCCUCCCCUUGUCGCCUAGGUCCACCCAGGCCCCCUCCCCCGGGCCGCUCCCGAGCACGAAGUUGGCGGGAGCCUAUAAAAGCCGGUGCCGGCACGACCCGCCGACAAACAGUGCAGGCGCCUGAGCCGCUGCUGCUAGACCUGUGCGGAUUCCUGUCCAGCCCCGACCGCCGGCGCGAUCAUG